rnacentral:rRNA from 1 species
UCUACGGGGGGCAGCAGUGGGGAAUAUUGGACAAUGGGGGCAACCCUGAUCCAGCCAUGCCGCGUGUGUGAAGAAGGCCCUCGGGUUGUAAAGCACUUUCAGUGAGGAAGAACGCCUGGUGGUUAAUACCCAUCAGGAAAGACAUCACUCACAGAAGAAGCACCGGCUAACUCCGUGCCAGCAGCCGCGGUAAUACGGAGGGUGCGAGCGUUAAUCGGAAUUACUGGGCGUAAAGCGCGCGUAGGUGGCUUGAUAAGCCGGUUGUGAAAGCCCCGGGCUCAACCUGGGAACGGCAUCCGGAACUGUCAAGCUAGAGUGCAGGAGAGGAAGGUAGAAUUCCCGGUGUAGCGGUGAAAUGCGUAGAGAUCGGGAGGAAUACCAGUGGCGAAGGCGGCCUUCUGGACUGACACUGACACUGAGGUGCGAAAGCGUGGGUAGCAAACAGGAUUAGAUACCCGUGUAGUC